UACAGAGGGUGCGAGCGUUAAUCGGAAUUACUGGGCGUAAAGCGUGCGCAGGCGGUUUGUUAAGUCUGCUGUGAAAUCCCCGAGCUCAACUUGGGAAUUGCAGUGGAUACUGGCAAGCUGGAGUACGGUAGAGGAAGGUGGAAUUCCCGGUGUAGCAGUGAAAUGCGUAGAGAUCGGGAGGAACACCAGUGGCGAAGGCGGCCUUCUGGACCAGUACUGACGCUCAUGCACGAAAGCGUGGGGAGCAAACAGG
rnacentral:rRNA from 1 species